UACGUAGGGUGCAAGCGUUAAUCGGAAUUACUGGGCGUAAAGCGUGCGCAGGCGGCUUUGCAAGACAGAUGUGAAAUCCCCGGGCUUAACCUGGGAACUGCAUUUGUGACUGUAUGGCUGGAGUGCGGCAGAGGGGGAUGGAAUUCCGCGUGUAGCAGUGAAAUGCGUAGAUAUGCGGAGGAACACCGAUGGCGAAGGCAAUCCCCUGGGCCUGCACUGACGCUCAUGCACGAAAGCGUGGGGAGCAAACAGG
rnacentral:rRNA from 1 species